rnacentral:lncRNA from 1 species
CUUGCCAAGAUAGUGAUGUUGUUGAUAAUUUUCCAUUUCCAACACCAACACCAUCGUUGUCCAUUACUGCUGCAGACAUGAUUGAUUAAUUGAUUGAAGAAUCCAAACAGAAUUUCAGAAGAUCAAAUGCAGUUUGCAAAGUAGCACUACACUAGUUCUAUUAAAACUGUGGACUAACUUGACUGACUUUAUAUGUAUAUGAAUCUAUCGGGAAAAAGAAAGAAAAGCAUUGUCCGAAGAAAGAGAUUUUCGUUUUGGAUCAGUUCGGAUCGGAUAUCCAAUAACAUCAAAUGGAUCGGUUUACUAUCCAAAGAGUAUGAUCCACUCUAUAUUGGAUCGGAUCGGUUUGGAUCAUAAAUAUUUUGGAUCGGUUUUGGAUCAGUGGAAAACCAAACCGAACCGAUCCAUUGACAGGCCUAUUUCUUGGUGGGGGUUUAUUUGAAAUUGCUUCUUUCAAGCUUGACCAGUUUACUUGCACCUUCUUGCUUUGGUGGUUUGUUUAAUUUUCUAGUGUCUUUGUGUUUAGCUUCUACUAUAAGGGUGGCUUGGGUUACAACAGUUUCUGGCCGGACACAACAUUAUUCCAGCAAUUAAC